CUCUGUGACUCCUACGGGAGGCAGCAGUGGGGAAUAUUGCACAAUGGGCGCAAGCCUGAUGCAGCCAUGCCGCGUGUGUGAAGAAGGCCUUCGGGUUGUAAAGCACUUUCAGUUGUGAGGAAGGUAGUGUAGUUAACACCUGCAUUAUUUGACGUUACCUACAGAAGAAGCACCGGCUAACUCCGUGCCAGCAGCCGCGGUAAUACGGAGGGUGCGAGCGUUAAUCGGAAUUACUGGGCGUAAAGCGCAUGCAGGCGGCUUGUUAAGUCAGAUGUGAAAGCCCGGGGCUUAACCUCGGAAUUGCAUUUGAAACUGGCAGGCUAGAGUCUUGUAGAGGGGGUAGAAUUUCAGGUGUAGCGGUGAAAUGCGUAGAGAUCUGAAGGAAUACCAGUGGCGAAGGCGGCCCCCUGGACAAAGACUGACGCUCAGAUGCGAAAGCGUGGGGAGCAAACAGGAUUAGAUACCCUGGUAG
rnacentral:rRNA from 1 species